rnacentral:tRNA from 1 species
GGACUCUAAGCUCAGUUGGUUAGAGCGUUGGCUGUUCUAAAACCUUCUUGCUAGCGUGGGUUCGAAACCCACCGAGGCCG